rnacentral:snoRNA from 1 species
AAUCUUUAAACCUUUCCCAUGCUUCAUAUAAAGACUCCCCAUCAUAUUGUGCAAAGCUAGUUAUAUUAUUUCUAAACUU